GAGGAUAUAGCUCAAGUGAUAGAGUGCAUGCUUAGCAUGCAUGAGGUCCUGGGUUCAAUCCCCAGUAUCUCCU
rfam:Camelus ferus unplaced genomic scaffold scaffold2519, whole genome shotgun sequence.